ACACGACCACAUUAGAUACCCGCGUAGUCCUAGCCGUAAACGAUACUCGCUAGGUGUCGGCCACGGUGCGACCGUUGUCGGUGCCGUAGGGAAGCCGUGAAGCGAGCCACCUGGGAAGUACGGCCGCAAGGCUGAAACUUAAAGGAAUUGGCGGGGGAGCACAACAACGGGUGGAGCUUGCGGUUUAAUUGGAUUCAACGCCGGAAAUCUUACCGGGACCGACAGCAACAUGAAGGCCAAGCUGAAGACUUUGCCGGAUUAGCUG
rnacentral:rRNA from 1 species